rnacentral:rRNA from 1 species
GUGUCAGCAGCCGCGGUAAUACGGAGGGUGCAAGCAUUGAUCGGAAUUACUGGGCGUAAAGGGCGCGUAGGCGGCCGAGAAAGUCAGAUGUGAAAUACCGGGGCUCAACCCCGGUGCUGCAUUUGAAACUUCUCGGCUAGAGGAUGGUUAGGGAAAACGGAAUUCCACGUGUAGCGGUGAAAUGCGUAGAUAUGUGGAAGAACACCAGUGGUGAAGACGGUUUUCUGGGCCAAACCUGACGCUGAGGCGCGAAAGCUAGGGGAGCAAACAGGAUUAGAUACCCUGGUAGUCCUAGCCUUAAACGAUGCAUACUAGAAGUAGGUGGGCUCAACCCUAUCUGUUUCGGAGCUAACGCGUUAAGUAUGCCGCCUGGGGAGUACGCUCGCAAGGGUGAA